rnacentral:lncRNA from 1 species
UUUAGUUUGUGUGCUCCAAACUUUCUGCAACUUAUAAUGAAACUCCAUUCUAUAGAGUUUGUUUGUGUUGAUUAAUGUGCCACCACAUAAAUGUAGCAAAUAUUAAUGAAGCUAUGGCAAUAAACUUAAUGUUGACACAAAAAUGCCAAAUCUCAAGUUAAAUGGUUUAUCUGAAUCUGUUAAAAUGGAUGCAAGCACUAAAGAAGAAAAUAACGUUACAAAUUGAAGCAGAAAUUUAACGAAUCAUUUUGACAAUUGGAUAUGAAUUGCAGAAAAGCACCAUUGUCGAAUCGUUAUGAAUCAAAUCUUUGUGU